rnacentral:lncRNA from 1 species
AAUAAUAAUCAUAAAUGGAUUAGUCUUUCUUUAUUUAUUAGUUAUUCUUUGGUAUACUUUUGUAUUCACAUUUUUCUAUUUCAUUAGAAAUUCAAAGGAUUGAAAUUCCAAUGAAAUUCUAGACAUCAUUUUCCUAUGUCAUAUGAGAAUUACAAGAACAAGUACUUUUCUAUAUUACAUGAGAGAAUUUUAAGAAUGAUACUUCUUGGUCCAAAUUUGACUGAAAGCAAAUGAACUCUGCACUACACAAAGCUUUAAUGUUUGGUUAUGGAAUUAUGGUAUAUGAGGAUGGUGGCCUACUGCUG